GACCUCGGAUCAGGUAGGGAUACCCGCUGAACUUAAGCAUAUCAAUAAGCGGAGGAAAAGAAACCAACAGGGAUUGCCCUAGUAACGGCGAGUGAAGCGGCAACAGCUCAAAUUUGAAAUCUGGCUCUUUUAGAGUCCGAGUUGUAAUUUGCAGAGGGCGCUUUGGCUUUGGCAGCGGUCCAAGUUCCUUGGAACAGGACGUCACAGAGGGUGAGAAUCCCGUACGUGGUCGCUGGCUAUUGCCGUGUAAAGCCCCUUCGACGAGUCGAGUUGUUUGGGAAUGCAGCUCUAAAUGGGAGGUACAUUUCUUCUAAAGCUAAAUAUUGGCCAGAGACCGAUAGCGCACAAGUAGAGUGAUCGAAAGAUGAAAAGCACUUUGGAAAGAGAGUCAAACAGCACGUGAAAUUGUUGAAAGGGAAGCGCUU
rnacentral:rRNA from 2 species